ensembl:lncRNA
AAAUAUCUGUGGGUUAGGGUGGUAGAGGGCUGACAGCAGAGGUGUCUGUCUGAACUGAUAAAUAUCUGUGGGUUAGGGUGGUAGAGGGCUGACAGCAGAGGUGUCUGUCUGAACUGAUAAAUAUCUGUGGGUUAGGGUGGUAGAGGGCUGACAGCAAAGGUGUCUGUCUGAACUGAUUAAUAUCUGUGGGUUAGGGUGGUAGAGGGCUGACAACAGAGGUGUCUGUCUGGAUUUUUAACAGUCCUUUACCGGCCUGGACUCUUUUAGGCCCGAGGUACAGGACAUUUCUGGAGGAACCAGAACUCAUUGUGUUAUAUUGUUAUGUGUGUGUGAUCAUUUGUUGGUAAUACAACCCACGCAAAAUAAUAUCGUUUUUGAAGUUCUUUCCAAUGUUUUAAGGGUUUAUGAAAAGUUUAUUUCCAUCCUGACUUUUACAUAUAAGUCCUUUUGUAUUGGUGUAGACUUGACGGACCAGAUGGGACUCAUUCCCUCCCAAACCAAAAGGAGAAACCAAUGUUUUCUCUGGUAGGCACAACCUACCUGGCACCC